AUGGAGUCGCCAACCCCCAAGUCGCCGUACGAGUUGGAGCCAACGAAUAUUUUUAGCUUAGACCUAGUUCUUCAAGGGUUUCUAUUGAAGGAACUGAGCGGUAGGAAAUCAUAUGUGAAAGGGAAAACAAUUAGAUGGAACGUAGACUCGGAGGAUUUCACAAUUGAUGUGCUAAUGGAUGGCUUAGGUGCUGAGCUGAGAGUUGGCAGGAAUCAGAGUGUUACUGUGUGGUAUUUUGACAUGAUAAUGGCGCAAGAUGUUAGACUAACUCAUAAGGAUCAACUUCAUGUGAUGUUUGACAUGUACAGAGCAGAGAAGAAGCUUACAUUGGCUGUUGUUGUGCUUGAUAACUCUGAUUCUGAAACUCCUGUACCCGUCGUUGACAAUGUUGUUCAUGUGCCUGAAGCAACUAUUUCUGACAAUGAUGUGCUGCUGAUGGAUACGCAAGAUUGUCCCUUACCAUCUCAUGCAAACACACCAUUAAAGCAAUCUGCACAAGUAGAGCCAUCUGCCCAGAAUGUAGAAACUGACCCAUUUGACAUGGUUGAGGAGUACGUAGGGGUAGAUGAUGAGUACAUGUAUAUUGUUGAGCCAUUUGCCCUUGUCCCAACAGCAUCUGUUGAGCAGGGCAGCAACAUUCAGGAGAAAGAGGAUGAUGGCGCUGAUGUAUUUGUGCACCACGAGGAGGAAGAAGUGGUUGAUAUUGAUCCUGCAGGCUAUACUGUGGUGCAUGACAUUGAGAACCCAGACAUCAGGGUUGGGGCUCUCUUUCCUGACAUUGUGACUUUCAGAAAAGCUAUAAGGCAACGUGCUAUUUUAGUUGGGUUUAAGUUGGCUAAAAUCAAAACGGACAAAACUAGGUUCAUUGCUGAGUGUGCACAUGGGCCAUGUCCAUGGCGCAUACAUGCAUCCACAUUGCAAGAUGGUAGAACAGUCAUGAUAAAAACGCUUCCAUUUGAGCACAACUGUCCCAUUACAAAAUUAUCAAUUUGCAAAAUGGCUUCACAAGGAUGGAUUGCAGAUAAGACUGGGGAUUGGGUGAAGAAAAAUCCUGGUGUUGGUGCAAAAGACGCCAAAGGGAAGUUGGAAGAUGAGUUCAACAUCAAGCUGAAAUACAACAAGGCUUGGUACGGUAUGAAGGUAGCCCUUGAUCAAAUCCAUGGAAAGCCAUGCAUGCAUGCACUGGCCUUCAUUUGUAGCAUCAAUGGUGCUGAGAUUCAAACAUAUGUGGAUGAUUACUAUUCUGUGGAUAAGUUCAAGGCAGCGUAUGCUGGGAAUAUCCCUUCCAUGACAGAUAAGUCACCGUGGAUCCAAGUGGAUUUGGGUGUCAAGGUCCACCCUCCUUUGCAGCAAACAGUGGCUGGUAGGCCACGAGUUCAGAGAAUUAGAGGAUGGCUAGAGCCUGGAAGGAAAAUAGUCAAGUGUAAGAGGUGUGGUGAACCUGGGCACAUGCAGAAGACAUGCAAGGUUCCUAAUCCUGAAUAUAUGGCGGUAGAUGAUGAUAUACCUAUAGAGGAUCCAUCUACACCUACAAACAAAAGGAAGAAAUGUGGUGAAACAACGGCUACAACAGAUGGUGAUGCAACAGAUGAUGAAGUCCUUAUUAAUCUUAUAAGGAAAAGGGCCAGAACAACUCCACAGAAGCCGAAGGCACCUGAAAAGGUCAAUGCACCAGCCAAGAAGAAGACACCUGUGAAGAUAGCUGCGGUAGAAGAGAAGACCAAGAAAAAGACUCCUAUGAAGAAAGCUACAACACAACAGAAAACCAAAAAGAAGACCCCCGUGAAGAAAGUUGCAUCACAAGAGAAAGCCAAGAAGAAGACAUCUAAAGGGAAGAAAGUCAAGAAGAAUGUUCCAUUUGCGCCGGUUAUACCUCCACCUCCACCUCCACCUCCAGAAGGGCAGCCUACAAAUGGUGCAAAAAGAAGCCUUCUUUAUUGGCUUGGUGGCUAG
rnacentral:rRNA from 1 species